rnacentral:rRNA from 1 species
ACUGUGAGCUCGAUGAGUAGGGCGGGACACGUGGUAUCCUGUCUGAAUAUGGGGGGACCAUCCUCCAAGGCUAAAUACUCCUGACUGACCGAUAGUGAACCAGUACCGUGAGGGAAAGGCGAAAAGAACCCCGGCGAGGGGAGUGAAAAAGAACCUGAAACCGUGUACGUACAAGCAGUGGGAGCCUCUUAAUGGGGUGACUGCGUACCUUUUGUAUAAUGGGUCAGCGACUUAUAUUCUGUAGCAAGGUUAACCGAAUAGGGGAGCCGAAGGGAAACCGAGUCUUAACUGGGCGUUAAGUUGCAGGGUAUAGACCCGAAACCCGGUGAUCUAGCCAUGGGCAGGUUGAAGGUUGGGUAACACUAACUGGAGGACCGAACCGACUAAUGUUGAAAAAUUAGCGGAUGACUUGUGGCUGGGGGUGAAAGGCCAAUCAAACCGGGAGAUAGCUGGUUCUCCCCGAAAGCUAUUUAGGUAGCGCCUCGUGAAUUCAUCUCCGGGGGUAGAGCACUGUUUCGGCAAGGGGGUCAUCCCGACUUACCAACCCGAUGCAAACUGCGAAUACCGGAGAAUGUUAUCACGGGAGACACACGGCGGGUGCUAACGUCCGUCGUGAAGAGGGAAACAACCCAGACCGCCAGCUAAGGUCCCAAAGUCAUGGUUAAGUGGGAAACGAUGUGGGAAGGCCCAGACAGCCAGGAUGUUGGCUUAGAAGCAGCCAUCAUUUAAAGAAAGCGUAAUAGCUCACUGGUCGAGUCGGCCUGCGCGGAAGAUGUAACGGGGCUAAACCAUGCACCGAAGCUGCGGCAGCGACGCUUAUGCGUUGUUGGGUAGGGGAGCGUUCUGUAAGCCUGUGAAGGUGUGCUGUGAGGCAUGCUGGAGGUAUCAGAAGUGCGAAUGCUGACAUAAGUAACGAUAAAGCGGGUGAAAAGCCCGCUCGCCGGAAGACCAAGGGUUCCUGUCCAACGUUAAUCGGGGCAGGGUGAGUCGACCCCUAAGGCGAGGCCGAAAGGCGUAGUCGAUGGGAAACAGGUUAAUAUUCCUGUACUUGGUGUUACUGCGAAGGGGGGACGGAGAAGGCUAUGUUGGCCGGGCGACGGUUGUCCCGGUUUAAGCGUGUAGGCUGGUUUUCCAGGCAAAUCCGGAAAAUCAAGGCUGAGGCGUGAUGACGAGGCACUACGGUGCUGAAGCAACAAAUGCCCUGCUUCCAGGAAAAGCCUCUAAGCAUCAGGUAACAU